AUGUGUAUGCACAAGCCGAAAUACGGUGAAGCCGCGAAUGGCUCAUUACAACAGCCAUUGUUUACUUGAUCUUGAAAUCCUACAUGGAUAACUGUGGUAAUUCUAGAGCUAAUACACGCAUUUAAGCUCUACGCCGGAGACGGCUAGAGUGCCUUUAUUAGAACAAAGCCAAUCGGGCUCCGGCCCGUCAUUUGGUGAAUCUGAAUAACCGAGCCGAUCGCGCGGUCUUAGAACCGGCGACGAAUCAUUCAAGUGUCUGCUUUAUCAACUUUCGACGGUAGUUUAUGCGCCUACCGUGGUUGUAACGGGUAACGGAGAAUAAGGGUUCGACUCCGGAGAGGGAGCCUGAGAAACGGCUACCACAUCCAAGGAAGGCAGCAGGCGCGCAAAUUACCCACUCUCGGCACGAGGAGGUAGUGACGAAAAAUAACGAGGCGGUUCUCUUUGAGGCCCGUUAUCGGAAUGGGUACAAUAUAAAUCCUUUAACGAGGAUCAACGAGAGGGCAAGUCUGGUGCCAGCAGCCGCGGUAAUUCCAGCUCUCGAAGUGUAUAUCAUUGCUGUUGCGGUUAAAAAGCUCGUAGUUGGAUCUGCGCCCUAGGAACCGGUCCACCCAAUGGGUGCGUACUUGUCUCCAGGGCUGAUUUUGUCGGUCUCCCUUGAUGCUCUUAACCGAGUGUCCUGGGCGGCUGGCGCGUUUACUUUGAAAAAAUUAGAGUGCUCAAAACAAGCGUGUUUGUUUGAAUAGUGGUGCAUGGAAUAAUGGAAUAGGACCUCGGUUCUAUUUUGUUGGUUUUCGGAUCACGAGGUAAUGAUUAAGAGGGACAGACGGGGGCAUUCGUAUUGCGGCGCUAGAGGUGAAAUCCUUGGACCGCCGCAAGACGGACAACUGCGAAAGCAUUUGCCAAGAAUGUUUUCAUUAAUCAAGAACGAAAGUUAGAGGUUCGAAGGCGAUCAGAUACCGCCCUAGUUCUAACCGUAAACGAUAUCAACCAGCGAUCCGCCGGCGUUAAUUACGACUCGGCGGGCAGCUUUCCGGAAACGAAAGUCUUUCGAUUCCGGGGGGAGUAUGGUUGCAAAGCUGAAACUUAAAGGAAUUGACGGAAGGGCACCACCAGGAGUGGAGCCUGCGGCUUAAUUUGACUCAACACGGGGAAACUCACCCGGCCAGGACACUGGUAGGAUUGACAGAUUGAGAGCUCUUUCUUGAUUCGGUGGGUGGUGGUGCAUGGCCGUUCUUAGUUGGUGGAGCGAUUUGUCUGGUUAAUUCCGAUAACGAACGAGACUCUGGCCUACUAAAUAGCGAGCGGAUCAGCUUUGUCUGCGGCGCUUCUUAGAGGGACAAGCGGUGCUUAGCCGCAUGAAAAAGAGCAAUAACAGGUCUGUGAUGCCCUUAGAUGUCCGGGGCCGCACGCGCGCUACAAUGAAGGAGUCAACGCGCUUUUGAACCUGGCCUGAAAGGGCCGGGUAACCGGAGGAAAAUCUUUCGUGAUUGGGAUAGGGACUUGCAAUUAUUUCCCUUGAACGAGGAAUUCCUAGUAAGUGCGGGUCAUCAGCUUGCGCUGAUUACGUCCCUGCCCUUUGUACACACCGCCCGUCGCUGCCCGGGACUGAGCCGUUUCGAGAAGGACGGGGAGUGCUGGCGUCGACUGCCGUUCUCGGUGGUUGUCUGUCGGUGUGAACCGCUCUAAUCGCGACGGCUUGAACCGGGC
rnacentral:rRNA from 1 species